rnacentral:rRNA from 1 species
CAGCCCACAAGCUAGCUCGCCCCCACAAAUGCAAUAACAGACUAUAAAUAACCCCUAAUAAACCUUAAAUACUCAAGACCAAACCAUUUUUCCCCCCAAGUAUGGGCGACAGAAAAGGACAAGACGAAGCAACAGUACUAGUACCGCAAGGGAACGCUGAAAGAGAAGUGAAACAAAUCAGUGAAGCAUAAAAAAGCAGAGAUUAACCCUCGUACCUUUUGCAUCAUGGUUUAGCAAGAAAACAUCAAGCAAAGAGCAUUUUAGUUUGACUCCCCGAAACCAAGUGAGCUACUCCAAGACAGCCUCCAAGGGCGAACCCGUCUCUGUGGCAAAAGAGUGGGAAGAUCUUUGAGUAGAGGUGACAGACCUACCGAACUUGGUUAUAGCUGGUUGCUUGGGAAAUGAAUAGGAGUUCAGCCUUUUGCCCUCUUUCUUCACAUACUGGAUAUACUUUCAAGCGCCAAAGUAGGACAAAAGAGUUAGUCAAAGGGGGUACAGCCCCUUUGAAUAAAGACACAACUUUACCAGUAGGGUUAAGAUCAUAACAGCAAGGAAGGGAAUGUGUUCUAGUUGGCCUAAGAGCAGCCACCCACACAGAAAGCGUUAAAGCUCAGACACCCCUCCACCCCAAUUAUCCGGACCACAAAAUCUUACCCCCCUAAUCAUACUGAGCCUUUCCAUACCGAUAUGGAAGAGACUAUGCUAAUAUGAGUAAUAAGAGACCUAGAAUCUCUCCCUGCGCAAGUGUUCAUCGGAACGAACUAACACCGAAAAUUAACGGCCCCAAAAGAGGGGAUUGAAAUAUUUUAGCCAGGCUACUAGGAGAACAUCCAUACGCCCACCGUUGACCUUACACCAGAGCGCAUAUAAGGAAAGACUAAAAGAAAGAGAAGGAACUCGGCA